rnacentral:rRNA from 1 species
GAUGAACGCUGGCGGCGUGCCUAAUACAUGCAAGUCGAGCGAACGGACGAGAAGCUUGCUUUUCUGAUGUUAGCGGCGGACGGGUGAGUAACACGUGGAUAACCUACCUAUAAGACUGGGAUAACUUCGGGAAACCGGAGCUAAUACCGGAUAAUAUUUUGAACCGCAUGGUUCAAAAGUGAAAGACGGUCUUGCUGUCACUUAUAGAUGGAUCCGCGCUGCAUUAGCUAGUUGGUAAGGUAACGGCUUACCAAGGCAACGAUGCAUAGCCGACCUGAGAGGGUGAUCGGCCACGCUGGAACUGAGACACGGUCCAGACUCCAACGGGAGGCAGCAGUAGGGAAUCUUCCGCGAUGGGCGAAAGCCUGACGGAGCAACGCCGCGUGAGUGAUGAAGGGCUUCGGAUCGUAAAACUCUGUUAUUAGGGAAGAACAUAUGUGUAAGUAACUGUGCACAUCUUGACGGUACCUAAUCAGAAAGCCACGGCUAACUACGUG